GGGAGCGAAGCUCAGUGGCAGAGCAUUCGACUGCAGAUCGAGAGGUCGGUGGUUGAAAUCCGCACGCUCCUU
rnacentral:tRNA from 1 species